rnacentral:rRNA from 1 species
UAUGCACGCUGGCGGCGUGCCUAAUACAUGCAAGUCGAGCGAACAGACGAGGAGCUUGCUCCUCUGACGUUAGCGGCGGACGGGUGAGUAACACGUGGAUAACCUACCUAUAAGACUGGGAUAACUUCGGGAAACCGGAGCUAAUACCGGAUAAUAUAUUGAACCGCAUGGUUCAAUAGUGAAAGACGGUUUUGCUGUCACUUAUAGAUGGAUCCGCGCCGCAUUAGCUAGUUGGUAAGGUAACGGCUUACCAAGGCGACGAUGCGUAGCCGACCUGAGAGGGUGAUCGGCCACACUGGAACUGAGACACGGUCCAGACUCCUACGGGAGGCAGCAGUAGGGAAUCUUCCGCAAUGGGCGAAAGCCUGACGGAGCAACGCCGCGUGAGUGAUGAAGGUCUUCGGAUCGUAAAACUCUGUUAUUAUGGAAGAACAAAUGUGUAAGUAACUAUGCACGUCUUGACGGUACCUAAUCAGAAAGCCACGGCUAACUACGUG